rnacentral:rRNA from 1 species
CUCACAUAUAAACCAGGAUUAGAUACCCUAUUAUUUUAAUUGUAAAUUUUAAUGCCUGAUUAUUAAUAGAUUAUUUUCUUGAAAAUUAAAGAUUUUGGCGGUAUUUUAGUCUAUUCAGAGGAACCUGUCCUGUAAUUGAUGGUCCACGAUUUAAUUAACUUUUUCUUGUGGUUUGUAUAUCGUCGUGGUUUGAAUAUUUUAUAAGGAUUUUAAUGUUCAAUAAUUAUUAUUUUAAUUGAUGUCAGAUCAAGGUGCAGCUUAUGGAAAAGAAGAGAUGGGUUACAAUAAGAUUAUUUCUGGUUUGGGAUUUUUAAUAUUCUCAUUAAAUUGGAUUUGAAUGUAAUGUUUUUAAAAUUAUAAACUUGAUUUUGGCUCUAAAAUAUGCACAUAUCGCCCGUCACUCUCACA